rnacentral:sRNA from 1 species
GUCGAAUUCCGAGAGAUAUUUCAGUUCGUAGAUAGGACGUGCAACAUUUUUUCUACUAUUUUUUGUAUUAACAGUAAACUUGUAUUAAAAUUAGUCAUCGCUUAAGGCGCCCCCCUUCGGACCAUAUACGAAGUGAUCGUUGAACGUGUAGGACUAUUUGCAGGAUCCAUCUGUUAGCCACUAGAGGCGCCAUAUCUUGUCCUUUAAGCUGGCAAUGACAUUCUUAAUGUGAAAUGCAAAAGUGAGGCGCCUAUGUAAGGUAACACACUUUCAUUGUUAUAGAGUCUUUUUGGAGUGUCUAUGUCCCCACUGCCCAUAUUUUAUGGUCGAGGCUAUUAUUCCAUCGGAAGGCACAUUUUAAAAUUUUUUCAAGAACUUUGGCAGGGUGUUCGUUGCUUUAGAAAAACAUCUGCUCCUGACUAAAAAGGGACUGCCAUGCGCAAUUGUGGCAAUCCAAUCGAUGGCUAGUGAGCAGCAUAAGUAAUGAACGUUUACAGGAUGGGCCCGAGGAUGCUUCCAAGGGGAACUACUGCAGAGAUAACUUUUGAAGUGGAAACGGUUAGACCACAGAAAAAGUCCUUUCGAAAAGGAAACUGACAAAGAUUUUGAAAAGUUGGUGGUGAAAAAGUCCUCUUAGCUUAUACAGAAGGCCCUGAUGCCAUACCCUGUCGAAUGCCUGUCGAAAUGCCCCUCACGAUGCACUUUUUCGGGGUGCCGUGGCCUUUUUUGAUGCCAAAUUAAACUCCAGAAUUGCUUAAACUCCCGAAUUAAAUAGCAAGAGGACCAGUAUGCACCUUUACAACAAGGCGAUAUUCACGGUUUAUCUCGGUAUUGGGAUAUGCUGAAGGCAAGAACAGGAGAGCAUGAUAAGGUGAUAUUACUAAUCAUACGGUUAAUGAUUCCGUCAGGACAAGGCUUCCUUUAUUUUAAGCUUCUUUAUAAUACUCCCGGUCUCUGGAAGUGAAACAGGACGAAGAGGCAAGAAAAGCUGUAGAUUUCUUCACCGUCUCACCCCUGGAAAGCUUUGAAGCGUUCUUUAAGAUCCUUAGUAAAGGCCUCUUCACGAUCUUGAGAUCUGGUCACGGA